rnacentral:rRNA from 1 species
AGUUGAUUAUGGCUCAGAACGAACGCUGGCGGCAUGGAUUAGGCAUGCAAGUCGAACGGUGCAGCAAUGCAUAGUGGCGCAAGGGUGAGGAACGCGUGAGUAAUCUGCCCUCAAGUUGGGAACAGCUUCUGGAAACGGAAAUUAAUACCGAAUGUGACCUUUAGGAGGCAUCUUUUAGAGGUUAAAGGCCGCAAGGUCGCUUGAGGAGGGGCUCGCGUCCCAUUAUGCUAGUUGGUGAGGUAACGGCCCACCAAGGCGAAGAUGGGUAGCUGGUCUGAGAGGACGAUCAGCCACACUGGGACUGAGAACUGCCCAGACUCCUACGGGAGGCUGCAGUCGAGAAUUUUGGGCAAUGGACGAAAGUCUGAACCCCCAGCAAUGCCGCGUGCGGGAUGAAGGUCUUCGGAUUGUAAACCGCUGUCAAGUGGGACGAAACAAAUGACGGUACCGCUGAAGGAAGUCACGGCUAACUACGUGCCAGCCGCGGC